ACAACGGGGGUGCGAGGGCUGUCGCUGACCUUUCAAAAGGUCGUGCACGCCCGAGCGCUCUCACACAUCCAUCUCACCCCUUUGUGCAUCACCGCGUGGGUCCCCCUUUGCAGGAGGGCUCACGUUUUCACACAAAACUUGAUACAGUGUAGAAUGUUAUUUUUGCGGUCACACGCAAUCAAUACAACUUUCAACAACGGAUCUCUUGGCUCUCGCAUCGAUGAAGAACGCAGCGAAAUGCGAUACGUAAUGUGAAUUGCAGAAUUCAGUGAAUCAUCGAAUCUUUGAACGCACCUUGCGCCCCUUGGCAUUCCGAGGGGCACGCCCGUUUGAGUGUCGUGAAAUCAUCAAAAACCCUUUUCUGUUUACCGAAAAGGAUUUUUGGACUUGGAGGUUUAAUGCUUGCCUUUCACUUUUGAAAGCGAGCUCCUCACAAAUGAAUUAGUGGGGUCCGCUUUGCUGGUCCUUGACGUGAUAAGAUGUUUCUACGUUUUGGAUUUAGCACUGUCCCUUUGGAUUCCUGCUCCUAACUGUCCAACGGACAAACGAUGGUGCUCCGGUCGCCGCCGUCUACAUUGGCGGGGGAGGGCUGGACCCACGAAAGAAACCUUGA
rnacentral:rRNA from 1 species